rnacentral:rRNA from 1 species
AUUGAACGCUGGCGGCAUGCCUUACACAUGCAAGUCGAACGGUAACGGGCCUUCGGGUGCCGACGAGUGGCGAACGGGUGAGUAAUAUAUCGGAACGUGCCCAGUAGUGGGGGAUAGCCCGGCGAAAGCCGGAUUAAUACCGCAUACGACCUGAGGGUGAAAGCGGGGGAUCGCAAGACCUCGCGCUAUUGGAGCGGCCGAUAUCAGAUUAGCUAGUUGGUGGGGUAAAGGCCGACCAAGGCAACGAUCUGUAGUUGGUCUGAGAGGACGACCAGCCACACUGGGACUGAGACACGGCCCAGACUCCUACGGGAGGCAGCAGUGGGGAAUUUUGGACAAUGGGCGCAAGCCUGAUCCAGCAAUGCCGCGUGCGGGAAGAAGGCCUUCGGGUUGUAAACUGCUUUUGUCAGGGAAGAAAUCUUCUGGGUUAAUACCUCGGGAGGAUGACGGUACCUGAAGAAUAAGCACCGGCUAACUACGUGCCAGCCGCCGCAGUAAUAC